UUGGCUGGCCUGGUGGCUGCCGGUGCCAUGCUCGCCUUCGCCCUGGCCAACGGCUUAGUGAAGAUCGAGAACAUGGAGCCGGACGAGUACGACCUGGGGGAGCUGGACGCCGAUUAGCCGCUGCCCGGGCGAUCGCCGAGUCCAUGACGUCACAAGCCCCGGCGACGCCGCUGUCUCCGCGUCCGCUGCUUCCGGAAGGUGCCAUGCUGGCGGUGCGCCGACCCGACCGCCUCCUCAUGUCCAGUACGGGCCAGUGCGGUCAUGUCAGCUGCGUUCGUUCCGUCAUAUUUUACUGCGUUGUUUGGUUGGAUUCGCAGCAUGUGGAUUUGGAUUACGCGAUUGGGAUUGCGUUUUAGAACUGUGAGCACGUUGGUCAUAGUGCUUUUACGGCUGUGUAUGUUGGUAUUUGGUGCAUACAGUGUAACUUGUGGUUUGCCACACGGAUUGCCGUGGAGUCUGUUAAAGAACGGUUGCUUCUAGGAUAUUCAGCCGAAUAAAGCCUGCUCUUCAACAGACUCACACCCCCAAAUAGCAAAUGCUGCCAUGUUUGCCGGUACCAUAAUUCGAUUGUUCAGUAUGGGUAUGCGAGUCAUAUGAGGCAUGUAAUAUGUAUACGUGUGUCUGUCCAGAUAUAUACGUGGCAACUCAUGA